rnacentral:rRNA from 1 species
GGAUUAGAUACCCUGGUAGUCCAUGCCGUAAACGGUGGGCGCUAGGUGUGAGGGUCUUUUCACGACUUUCGUGCCGUAGCUAACGCAUUAAGCGCCCCGCCUGGGGAGUACGGCCGCAAGGCUAAAACUCAAAGGAAUUGACGGGGGCCCGCACAAGCGGCGGAGCAUGUGGAUUAAUUCGAUGCAACGCGAAGAACCUUACCUGGGCUUGACAUACACCGGAUCGGGCUAGAGAUAGUCUUUCCCUUUGUGGCUGGUGUACAGGUGGUGCAUGGUUGUCGUCAGCUCGUGUCG